CUCCUGUGCAAUCACAAAGGCCUUGUUUCCUUAGAAACCAAGCUAAAAUCUACUGGCAAUAUUUCAGCCUGCUUGCCAGUAUCAGUAAGGAGCUCAGGGAGCACUUGAGUCCUGCAAAAUGAAAUUCUAUUUUGCUUUCUAAGGAGUUCUGUGCUUGAAAUUAGAUUUGGAAAGAGCUGGUUCUUGCACAGCUUGAAGCUUGCACCGUUCCACAUACGUGGGUCGCAGGGCUGGCAUUCCCGGUCAUUCGCCUUUCAUUCUCAAAAUUCAUGUGCAUGUGCAGACUGAGCGUUGCAAACAGGAAGAACAAAAAGAACAUUCAAGUUCACAUUGAAGUUCAGCAUGUACAUCUUUCCUGUCAUACCAGUGGAGAUUUAGAGAUGUGGAGUGCACACAUCAGAUUGGGAAAAAAAAAAAAUCAUUAAAGAACAAAGUGCCAUAAGGAGAGCCAGAUUCCUGGGGAACAAUGGCAGUGUGGAGACAAAGCAUUUAUAAGCAAAACUGAAAUGGAGUUCAUUUGCAGCCUGACGGAAAGUGAUGUAGUGAAUGAACUGACAAUAUCCACCUGCUCCAGAUGUGGAGAGGCAGAGGACGACUGAUGCUGGGACACCCAGUUGCCUUCUGAGGUACCUGGCACAAGCGGGAUGGCUCAUACCCAGACUGCAUUCUGUAGAUAGAAGGAUAAAUGGAGAAACAGAUUCAUGUGAGUCUGUAGUGUCUGAAUACAGUGUCUGUAGUGUCAAAGCAGUUCCCAGUUAGCCUUGUUGCCAUAUUGCAGAGUUGCUUUUUCAGAGUUUUUGCCCCUUGGUUGCUAAUAAGCUGUAUUUGAAAUGGUGCUCUUACUAUUCACCUCCUCAACCACCUCUAGUGCCUCAGGAUGCUCGUCUUAAUAUUGCUGAAGCCUCCCGAGGUGAACAUUUUUGCUUUUCCCUUCUCUUAAGGCUGAGAUUUUCAUUGGAGUUUUAGGAAAGGAUUUAACCCACAUUUAUCUAAUGCCGAUAUCAUUUGGACUAAUAACUGUUUUAUGCAAAAUGAAAAAUCUUGGCAUAAACAAACUGGGAAGAGUUUCUCUUUAGGAUAUGAGUGGUCUGGUUACAGGUUUUUCUUCUUUCUCUGUCUUUUUUUUCUUUUUUAAUGCAUUUUCAUUGGUACCCAUGUAGUGUGAAGAGUCCUUGCUGAAGUUUUGGGUUUUAGUGUGUCACUGUGCAAUACUGUAUUGAAUGUGAGAAGUGCUGUCCCUGGUUCAGAGAGCUUUGCACUUAGUUAACUCUUAACGGAACAAAGCCAAAUGCUUUUGGUAAAUAUACUGUCUCUAAGUGAUCUUGAAAUCAGUCACAACCAUACAAUAAUUAUAACCAAAUCUGCUGAAUAGAUAAACAGUUAUUUCCUCCUCUCAUUCCUCCCUGCCUAAUAUUCCUCAAGUAAAGGCUGAUGUGGAAGGGCCUGUAUUAACCAAGCUGUGUUCCAUUCAUUCACUCAUGCUGAUGGAGAGACAUACUCUAUCCCUGCCUCUGUCUCACUGGCUUGAAACUAUAUUUCAACCUGAGAUUUUGUGAAGUAAAUCUCUUUUAUACCCUCCUACUGGAGCUGCUCCACUUUCCUUAUAACAUAUUUAAAUCCUUCUCCUGCUGGAUUUAUAAGGAGAUUGGCUACAUGCAUUGCAUGUGUAGUACAGAGCAGAGCAACGCGAAGACUGACCUCAAAUUGCAUAAGAAAGUUCUGUGGCAGAGGACGUAGACCUAAAAUGGGAAAGCCCAAGUAUUCCAGUCUCCAGAGAUGGCAAAUGCUGCCCCUCUGUGCUUUGUGUGUCUUAGCACUGUGCUACUGAAUAAAGCAAUGUCUG
ensembl:lncRNA